CAAGAAGCUGACAAGUACUGUUAGAGGAGGCUGUACAUGUUGCUCUAAUGGACCUCAUUAAGUUCUACUUACAGAUGUUCUCUUAACAUAAUUGAUCUGCGAUGAAAACUUUAAGGAACAAUGAAGGAGAGAGGUACUGCUCUGAAACGGAUUGAAAUGUGGAGCUGCAGUGAGCUGUUUGCCAGAGAUUUGAAAGCUACAGUAAAAAAAGCCCAAGGCCGUCAGACAAAAAAAAGUUUGGGAGUGCGUGCAUCUUUAAUCUAAUAACACCUCCUACCCCCUCUGGUGUGCUGGUCCCCUGUCUCUCCCCAUCCUUGCCUUCAGAUAGUGGUCCUGACACAGCACAUGGGGGUUUUGUGGCACACUUUAACCCAUUGCCAAGUAAGACACCACCUGCGCAUGCACCACGUUCCUUGGUGGGGUCCCUGCAGCCAUUUUGUGGGGACCUUUUCUCCUCUCAGCGUGCUGCAGAGAACCACCUCUGAGGCCGGGCUCGUAAAAAGAUUUUGUUGCUAAAUGGUUUGUUUUUACUGCUACAUUGGAUAAGAAAG